ACACACUUAGUAAAUCAGUUCAAAACUUCAAAUAUAUUUAAGGUGCAGAUCCAUUUGGAUUGGUCUCUUGAAUGGAAUGGACAAUGCUGUACAGAAGACUACCUUUUCUACACUACUAUUAAACAAGAGAACUUGGCGGACGAAAACUGUGCCGGACCCACGCUCGCACAAGAUUGAAACGGUUCCACCAAUUCUGUUCACGUCCUAACAACAAAAUGGCUAAACUACGGAAAAUUAGCCAUAAUUAACGGCAAUUAAACACGUCCGCCUAACAACAAGUGGCUAAACUUACGGGAAUCAGAUGGAUCUUCCUGCCCUUGCCCACCCGGAAGUACGUCGCAGCCGCAGAGGCUGUCCUGCGCCAUCGCAGCCAUGCACAGCGGACGACGACCGCGCCGAAGAGCUUCUCGCGAACGCAGGUGCGAACAGUUCCAUCCCAGUUAAUCUCAGUGUCUUUCUUCGAUGUCGCUGUUCAAACGCACACUGCAGUGAGACAUCGGCGCCGCAAGCCACUGUUGCGCCGUCGCCGCCCAGCCAGUUUUGGCCAUCGCCCCCUUCCGCGGCCGACGAUGUAGGCGCCGACGAACUCCUCAGGCAACGCACUUGCCUGCACCAAAGGAACAUGGUAUGAUUUUACAGGAUAUUCAAUUGGGUUAACUUGAUGGGGCCGACCAAUUCCUGAUUUUACACAAAAUUCUAUUUAACAUAUAUGUGUGUUCUUCAUUUGCUUCCCUAAUCCCUGUCAAAUUUGCAUCCUUAUAACAAUGUUCUUCACUCUCAAAUUUGCAUAUUUACAACAAUGUGCUGAUCAAUGCAUCAUUUUUGUGCAAACCAUAAUAGAUCUACCUCCUGUAACUUCAACAUGAAUUUUAACAAAAACUUCAUGCUGGAGCCCUCCAUCAUAUUGUUUUAACAGUAUAUUAUUCGAAUCUAUAUGACUGAAUGAAUAAAACCCAGUCAGUAUGAUCUAUUUGUAACCCGAUCCAAGAGAGUGUGGAAGAAAACCCAGUCCAAGAAUAUGCAUUUUUCUGUACAUAAAUGAGGUCAUCUUCUAUUAUCAAAUUUGCAUAUUAGAUGGCUGCGGGAUAAGUAUUGCAUGAUAAACAAAAAUAUGAAACCAAACAUAUAGGCUCGGAAACACUUUGGAUUUUACAAGAGAAGAUCUACUAAAGUAAAUUCAGGUAGAAUCAAUGGCGGAGCUAGGAUUUGGAAACAGGAUAGUCCUCCAAAAUUAUGUCGUUUCAGUUACAGAGAAGCUUUGAUGUAUCACAGUAGUCCAACUGAUGCAUUCAACAAAUAACUGGAAUAUUCACAAAUUAUGUGAGUAAGUACCUGAUCAUUUUGGCCAAACCAAACCCAAGACUAUCAUGAAGUAAACCUGUCAAUUACUUCUUUUGUACAACGCUGAAAAGCUUCGGGAUGAGUAUUGAAAACCUGUCAAUGUGUAUGGCAGGCAGGUAUGCAUCCCCAUUCCCAUCUUUGUGUUUAUUCCAGAGUCCCAAAAAUAUAGGAUGGAACGAAUUCCAUGACUCUUAGAUAGUUAGAUGGUCUUCAAAAUACAUUUCUUGUAAGCCUGCAAAAGCACUUCUGUUUUAACAGGGGGUCCGGGACAACAAGAAAUAUAUCUAAAAGGUUGUGCUAUAUCAUGAAUAACACUUGUGCAGCUGCCGUAAGUAGUACUGAAGAUGCCAGAGAUGUUUAUGGACUUCUAAUAAGGCAAGUUAUUCCAAGAAAGGAAAUUUUUGAGGUGAUAAACUCUUUGAGCCAACCAUCGUCCUCUAUAUGAGAACCAUACCAUCAUCAUUCUUCAAACUGUAUUAUCCUACAGUCAUACAUGCUUAUCCUAUUGUAUUAUCGUACUAUGCUUCUCUUGAUCCUCUUUGAUUUUCUAUAAACCUCGCAUUUGUAAACUUAACCCUGCACAUCUAAGAACAUGUGUUCAUUUUUCAAAAUAGAAGUAAAUUUCUUUGGCAGGAUCAAGCCAAAUCAACCUCAUCUGUCUUGGUCCCUAUCCCCCCUAGCCACCUAGAAUUCUAAUCCACCAAUCAAUCAGCUUUAUCGUAGCAUGGUUGCCUGAAGAAUAUUAACUAACUAGAAUCCCCACUCAUAACAGUUGCUGCAACUAAGUUAAGAAAGUCUAAUCGAACAACUUACUCCAAGAUUAGGCAGACCAAAAUAGGAUCACCCCAACUUCUAAUUUUUCUCCCCUAUUCUAAAAUGACUCUCAUGCUUAAACCUAGAGUACUGAGCUACAUAUGUACUAUACAGGAAUGGAUAGCAAUUAGGGAUUAGCAGAAGUGGGUAAUGGGGAGUAACUCAAAUCAGAAAUAAGCAGAUAUGAAAGCUGAAGUGGGGAAUGGAUUUUCUAAUGGCGCCGGCUUGCACUUGGAGGGGACCAGCCACCGCGGCACUGCUGCCGUAUCUGGGCAGGGCAGGGCACAGCAAAGGGUUGUGCGAGCCGCCGACGGGCGAGAUGGAGAGGAAGGCACCGGGCGCGGAGGUUGCGACGCAUGAUUUCCACGCCCGCCGAUCUGAUGGAGACGAGUCCCGCGCCUCUGCGUCGGCCUUCGCCCCGCACCCAACGACCAUGCCGAGCUCGAGCGGAUCCUCGGGCACUUCGGCGACUGAUUCGACGAGGAGGGGCUGAGAAGAGUGGGGAGAGUGCGAGUCCUCGCGCCGGCGGUGGGGACGAAGAGGAGGGGCGGCCCGAGGAGGUAGAGAGCUCUGGGCUUGUGCCAUGGAGAGUAGUGGGGAGAUAGUGAAUGGAUAAGGGUGGGGAAGGUAGGUGACGAUGUGAGGAGAACUAUGAGGGAGAGUCAGGUGUGUCCUUUUUUGAGCCUUUUUCGUUUCUUUUCUUUUUUGAGUUUGUUUUUUAGCGUCGGUGUUGUCCAAUUCAUUUUUUUAUCAAUAGACUUUUUGUCACUUAGAGCAUCUCCAAUAGCAUGUGCAUAUUUGGAUGUCUAUAUAUUCAUAUAGACAAUGGUCUAAAAAGAUUCCCGCAUAUACACGUCCAGUUUUGCAUUAGAAUGUCUAUAUACAGGGACCAUGACAGGUGGGCCGUCGCUGGGGAAAGGAAGAAAUCAUGACUGCAGCUGAGUUUAGACAACGCCUUCACAUUGUCCAGGCGUGGACAUUGUCGAGGUCGAUAUAGAGGAUGUGUAUAUUUGGACGACCAUAUAGACAAGCUGUUGGACGCCUGUUUUGAGCUCACGUCGUGGAAAACGAGUAUAGACAUCCGUAUAGAGAAGCUAUUGAAGAUGCUCUUAGUUUGUACUCCCUCGGUAAAGAAAUAUAAGAGUGUUUAUAUUACUACUUUAAUGAUUUAAACGCUCUUAUAUUUCUUUACGGAAGUAGUAUUUAGCAUUGUACUUUGUCCAAUUGUUUUUUUAUCAAGUGUGUACAAUUUGACUAUGUGGGUGUGAUAGUUUGAUAAAGUCACAAGGGGUUAAAAAGUAUUCAAUCACAAUUAUUUUGAAAGUUUUAUAAAACUAAUAAGAUUUUUAUCAGUGCUUAUUAUUGAACAUAUCAAAAUUUCAUAAUCAUGCAACUUGUGGUUUCUGGAUGUUAAAUUUCAUGAAGUACCUAAUGAGAGAUAUUUUGUUCGACACUCAUAUUUUGCUAUAUAGGAUGAUUCAUUGCCAGCCAUAUAAAGGUUCUGAUUUUGAAUUACGUCAAGUUUAGUUCAAUUUUAAUUGUGCUUACAUUUUCUUCAGCAUUAUUUUUGUUGUUAAUUUUGAUAUUGAUGCCAUGAAUUUGUUUAUCCAGUUUUACAAGUUUUUGUUAAGACAUCUGAACACUCUUAUGUUUGGCAGUGAGUGUUUCUGGAAGUGUUAAGGGUCAUCAAAAAAUAUUUUAUUAUACUAACACUUGAAUAGGAUUAUAUAACACUAACACUUAUGUAAGGUUUUUCACUUUUUAUGAUACCCAAGUGGCGAAAAUAAUGAGGAGAGAAACAUUGAAAUCCUUGUGGAGGACCUCCAAUUCCUAAAAGGAUGACCUUCGUAUUUUCUUGAUUUUACCGCCUACUUCCAAGUUGGAAAAUGUGUUCAAGUAGGCUGGACCUUGGAUGUCUGUCCAGUGAAUCUUGCCUUGUGCAUCAAGACGUGUGUCUUCUUUCAAGGAUGAUUGGGAAAGUCAAUUUUAAGCAUUGUUUACGUUAUGCAAAUCAAGCGGCACAUGUGCUAGCUAAUUAUAGUUACUGUAAUAAAGUGUCUAUUAGUUAGACUGACGAGCCUCCAGAUUGUCUGGUGAGUAAACUCGUAGAAGAUGUAUCCUUGUCGUUUCAUCAAUAAAGCUAGCCAUGAUGGCCUUUCAUAAAGAAACAUGCGUUUUCUUUCAAGGAAAUCAGCAACAUAUUCAAGUGUCCCGUCAAGAUUGUGGGGCCUUGGAGAAGACACCCAUGAGAUAUUUGGUGGUGGUGCAUGUUUUAUUGAGGAAGUUUUGCUCUGCUUAGAUGAACCAGACUUAGGUCUUGCUAGAUGUAUUGGGGAAUUGGACAUUUGAGUUAAAGAUAUAAAAAAUGAAUUAAUAAAAUCGAAAUUCAUGUGAUAUUAUUUUGUCAUAUCAUUUACCUCUCAUGUUACUUUGGAACCUUAUUAGUUGAUUAUGUAAUUUUAGUAAUGUUACAUGAUUUUUCUAAGUUUUGAAUUACUAUGUUAUGUCAUUGAAUUGUAAUGUUAUAUUGUGAUUUAUUUUCUGCCUUGCAUGUUUGAAAUGUAAAGUACAAAUGUAUGUGUUAAUGAAGACGUGUGUUGCACGUGCACGCUUACUAGUGGUAUAUAAGAGGCAAAGUAUUUUUUUUCUCCGUUUCAAAAGAAAAAGAGGCAAUUUGCAAAAAAAAGAAAAGAGGCAAAGUUUUUGAAAGCCCUUGCAUCAUCACAGCUUGUUUUAUGUUUAUUUUACAGUGCCAAAAUGGCCAUGUGGCAUUCCUGUCGCUGGUCCAGGCUCAGCAACAAGUGCCACGUCUGCUCUCACGACGCCAUCUUUGCACGGAACACCGUGCUGGAGAAGUCUGCGAGCUGGUCAGCUAUGGGCAAAGAAACACUCACGAAGAAACCUGCCUCUUUCUCUUUCUUUCCCCUUCGGCGUGCCCGAUUCCCGGCUGUGGACAGGCACAGGGGCUUCACGGGGCGUUGGUCAGGCCACUUCCUCGUCGACCAUAGCGCCGAUUUCUUGCAUUUCGUCUAUGGUCAGUCAUUCGAAGUGAAUCUGGAGGCGUCCCUGCCUUUUCUUGUUCUUCUUGGAGAGGACGAUCACCUCUUUCUGUUCCUGAACAAGAACAUGAUGCCCUUCAGCAUGCCUUCUCCGUGGUUUGCCUCAGGACCGGCGACCUUCUGAGAUGAUGUGAAUAGGUGAUGUUUGCCUCGGGAGAAGGCAUGUCGGUUGGGACUUGGGACUUUGGAGGUCUGCUUCUGUAUGAUGUGAAUAGGGUGAUGUUUUCUUCUCUCCUAUGUUAUUUGUUCUAAAAUGGAAAUGCGUGCAGCAGUGUAAAUUUGUUUUGUAAAAGUAAAUUUUUUAUGUCCUAUCGCUAGGUAAAGUAAGAUCAACAUGUACAUCUGUAUGUAAAAGAAGUAAAGAACUGGUUCCGCCUGGCUAUUAUUAGUACAACAUUGCAAACUAUGGCCUAAAUAUUCGGAUUAACAGUUCAUUUGUAUAAAGUUUAAUGCUUACCAUUUCAGACAAGCAGGAUCAGUAGAACAAGCUAGUUUCAAUCACACAUCCCUGAUUUUUUCUUGAACAAAUGGAAAUAGCCCUGCGUUUUUUGAACAAUUAGGGGGGUGGGGGAGCAACCCCACCUCAAUAUGUUACUCAAAAGAAAGAGUACAAUGAGAGGUGAGGAAAAGGCGCAAAGACAUGGCGGCGUCCCUGUUAAUCGGGUCUUUGAACCAAAAGCCCCAAACCGUGAAAUCAGAGAUUACAUUCUGUGAGGUAUCCGUAGCCGAAUGAAUCUCUGAGUGAAACACCUGGGCAUUACGCAUUACGGGUGUCCCAGAGUUUCCAAAGGGCGGCGAGAACGACGUGGGCCAAAGGUUGAUGUCGAGGCCACCCAGAGUGGCAGUAUCCCAAAGGUGCUUGAUGUUGGAGCGAGGGUGAAGGCCCAAUAGCCGCCAAACCUAGACCUCCCUAGGGAAUGAGAUGACCAUGUGCGAGGCAUCCUCGAAGUGGUGGGCACAUCUCGGGCAGGAGGAGUCGGAGGCGAUGGUCUUGUGAUGCAAGUCCGCCUUCGUGUUGAACCUAUCCCUGAAAAGAGGCAGCCCAAAAUCUUGACCUUGAUAGUUGCCUUGGCACUCCAAAUGCGGUCGGCGUGGAAAUCAAGCUCGUCGGCGGAGGAGAGCAGGGAGUAGGCGCACCUCGCAUAGAACAACAUCCUGCAAAAAAGAUUGAACAACAGCAAAGCUCGACAUUUAUAUAUAGAAGAAAUGAAUUGACCAAAAAACGGAUACAACCGAGCAAUACACACCAGCCCCGAGGCUGGAUACCAGUCAAGUCGGCAACUCCGCCUCCCAAGUGACCGGAAUCGACACCCUACAACACGACUUGAAGCCGCCAACCCAGCAUACAAAGAACACAUCCACAUCGGUCCUGGGCCCGGUCACCAGCCGAGCCGAUGACUUUGCCACCCAAGUGAGUAGAGCUGACACCCUACAUUCUUUUUUUUUCGAGUCAAACAACUCCGUUUGAGGCGACGACUCUGAGCCCCACGCUGGGCCUCAACCAAAGGCCUAGCAGAAACCACGCUGUUCUGGGCCGGAUGGUAUUCAUCGCUCAGUUCGUGCAGCAACGCAGCCCGAGACCAUUUCGCGCACCGCCCACGCUGCCAGCCUGGGCCCGCAUGGCCGGCUGCCUAUAAGGCAACGGCCAGUGCGAGGGGGCCCCACCAGCCAGGAAGCAGCAGAGAGAGGAUUCAAAUUCCAAUUCCUCGGUGUCCCCCCAUUCCCCAACACCACCAGUCCACCACCACCGCCACCCAAUCCGUCGCUCCCCUCCUCCCCGCCGGCGAUCGCCGCCGGGGACCUCCUCGGCGGGGGCCCGCUCCGGGGCCGGGCGAUGAAGCUGAAGAUCAACAAGGCGUGCGACAUCGCCUCCAUCUCCGUCCUCCCUCCCCGGUACGCCCAGGCCGAUCCGCGCCCAAUUCCCCUCCCCUCUCGCCGCCGGCCGCUCCCGUUCGUUCCGAGGCGUGCCUGGUUUAAUUCGUGCCCGUGGCGUGUUUUGUUGGUGGUGCAGGAGGACAGGAGGGAGCAGCAGUGGCGGUGGCGGGAUGAGCGCGCCUGCUGCUGCUUCCGCGGCGGCGGCGGCGGCCGCGCAGCAGCAGCGGUCCCAGUCGAUGUCGCAGAAGUCCUUCUCGCAGGGUGGAGGCGGCGGCUCGUUCUCGCAGGGCGUCGGGGCGUCCUUCUCGCAGGCCAUAGGCAGCGGAGGCGCGUCCUUCUCCCAGGCCAGAGGCGCGUCCUUCUCGCAGGGCAGCGGCAGCGGAGGCGCCGCGUUCUCUCAGGGCGGCGGAGGCGGAGGAGCCGCGUUCUCUCAGGGCGUAGGUGGUGGAGGCGCUGCGUUCUCUCAGGGCGGAGGUGGCGGAGGCGCGGCCUUCUCUCAGGGCGGUGGGAACGGAGUUGCGGCCUUCUCUCAGGGCGGUGGAAGCGGAGGCGCGUCCUUCUCCCAGGGCGGUGGCAGCGCGCCGCUCGUGCACGCGCAGUCGCAGCUCUCGCAGGCCUCCCUCGACGCGAACCUCCUCAGCCUCCUCUCGCAGGCUCCCGCGCGCGACCAGGUCUCGUACACAUCAUCCCUCCUUCUUCUCCAAUUGUUGCCGCGUUUGAUCCAUGAUCCAUGAUCGAGGCCGCGUUUGCUUCUACGGUACCGCUUGGAUCACAGGAUCAGUGUGUUCGGUGAAUUUGUUGGAUCAGUGGAUCACUAGCAUGUCGGGUAUGACGGUCUCGUGUCUGUUGCUUGCAGUAGCGAGUUUGCAUCGAAUUGGUUGGUGUUGGUCACUGUUAAUUAGUCGCUUCCACUGAAUCUGCUUGUGCUUGUUGGUAGGCUGAAGAAAUAGUUUAAAUCACUGCAGUGGCCAUUUCAUUGGGCAAAUUAGUGAACCAAGUGUAGUAUCUCAAUUUGGUGCACGCGAGCAUUCAUGUACUGCAUUUUACUGAAAGUGUAAGGGGAACGACAUCCAUGUGAUCCUUUUCUGCUAGACCCUUUGAAAUGGUGAUUUUGAUCUGUAUGAUUUGUCGGAAUUGACGCCGUUCUGUGCACAGUUAGGCCCUGUUCGGUAGUUAUCCACUCCCAGAAUCUGUGGAGCGGCCAAUCUGCAACUCUACGAAUUUGUACUACAGCUCCGCCAACUCCCGGAGCGGAGUUGUGGAGCGGAGCAUUACCGAACAGCCCCUUAGUAUGCAGUUACGAUUUAUUCAUAUUCGGCAAUGCAGAGGGAAUGCCCAAACCAACAGUUCUUGUCCUAAUAAAUGUUUGAGUGAGAACAACUAUGUUUGUUGUUAUAUUUGCUUGUUACAGAAGGUGCCUUCCUUCAGAAAAGUUAUAUAAUGUGCACACUGUUUAUCUGCUGCCCAAUUGUGAUCUCCAUUCUCUUUUCUUUGGUGACCAGAGAUUUGCCUUGCAACAGGACUCGUCGAAGAGGACAUCUUCAUAUCCUGCCAGUUCAGCUUCUUGUGUGCGCGAGGAAUCUCAGCUGCAACUGACAAAGAUACCAACCAACCCUAUCCACCGCUGGAGCCCCUCUCUUCCGGAUAGCAGAUGUAAACUCAAGCCCUUGCGCCUGACAGAAUUUACAUUUUAUCCAUUUUUCUUUUGCGGGAAAGUGCAUUUCAUUCAUCACCAUAACAACAGUUCACAUGCUCUUCAAGCACACUAAUUUUGGUGUUCUGAAUAGGUUCACAAAAAUUCUCUCAUUAACUGGGCAUGUAAGGUCAAAUAGUACAUGCUUUAAACAGAUAGUGCACCUGAAGCUGUUCUAAACGUAGACUCUAGAUUUAUUUUAAGCUGUCACAUUGUCAUGAUAUACCUGGAAGUGUAUUUCGACUAAAGUGCCAGUUGAUGUUGUUUCGACAGGUCAGGUUAAUGAAGAAGUUGAGCGCAAAUUUCAGCAUCUUGCCAGUUCAGUACAUAAGAUGGGAAUGAUAUUAGACUCAGUGCAAAAUGAUGUGAUGCAGUUAAACAGAGCCAUGAAGGAGGCAUCACUGGACUGUAAGUAACCCUCUAAUUGGUACUCCCUCUGUAAACAAAUAUAAGAACGUUUAGAUCACUGAAGUAGUGAUCAAACGCUCUUAUAUUUCUUUACGGAGGGAGUAUUUUAGAUCAAUAAGGACAAUAGUAACUGCUGCUAUUUUCUUCAUGAGUUCUGCACUCUAAUUCUGUUACUUCCCACAAAUAGUACAUCAUCGACUAAUGAGAGCAUGCAUUCACUUUGUUCAGCUGGUAGCAUUCAGAAAAAGUUUGCGCUCCUAGAGGACUCUCUAAAGCAAAUUGUAAGGAUAGUUGCUGGUUCAGUCCUUUUUUCGCUGCUUCUUUUUGCUGAGGCAACAAAGUUUAAUUAAUCCAAACGUGGUACCACAGCUUAAGGAACAAGAUGAUCUCAAAGCAGUCGUUGAAGAAAUCACAGAAAGUAAUCCUGACCAACUGAGUGUUCUCAACUCUCUCGCCAGCAAACAGGAUGAGAUGUCUUCGUUACUUUCAGUCUUGCCAAACCAUGUGCAAGGAGAACUGGGGCAACUGAAGGCUGACAUCUUCAGAACUUUCUCAAAGGAGAUGGAGGUACUACUGCUAAGAUCGACCACUAGCUUUGAUACAACUCUGUUAGGUUCACUUGUGUUUGGGAAUUCUUCUGAUGGCUGGCUUGUGCAUAUAAGUAAUUAUCUUUUUUAGAAGAACAGGGAGCCUUUCCCCGGUUCCAUUAUAUUAAUGAAACCAAAUUCAGAUCAGAUUCAGUUAUUACAUAAGCUCACUAAGAGGAGCAGAUAUAAGUAAUUAUCUUAUCUUGCUGAUUUACCACCAUGUAAAAUUCUCUCUUAUGUCCAUAUGUGUGAGCUUAGUUUCUAUGAAGGCGUAUAUAAGCUGGUUCAUACCAUUUUCUUCUAUAUCUUAUUUUUCUUUCAGGAAGCGUAAUUCCGUUGUCUAUUCAAGAUAUCUAACACUAAAAAUUCUCAGUCUACACUAGGGCUUAUUUUUUCAGCACUUUACUCCGAAGUUAAAAGAUUGCCUUUGAAGAACAUGCACAAUCUUGUAUUUCAUGUGGCAUGCUAAGACCCCAUCACUUCACAUACUAGAGUAAAGCAACUAAUGCGGGUUUUGCUGACCUUUGCCUAUUUGUAUCUGGACAGGGGAUGGUUAGAGCUGUCAGAUCUGUUGAUACCAGGUUUGACCAGAUGCAAAUGCUGGCAGUACGUGUACUUGUCACUCAACUAAUUGAAUUAGCAAGCCUUUCAGUACUUUUCUCCUCUCAUUCUGUUUCCCUUUAUUUGCUGAAGAACCAGACAAGAGUAGCAAACGGAAGCCCCCUGAUGAUGCAGACACCAGUAGCCUAUGGAAGCCCCCUGAUGAACCAGACAACAGUAGCAGAUGGAGGCCCCCUGAUGAACCAAGGACCAGUGGCAGAUGGGAGGCCGCGGAAGAAACAAAGGCCAGCGGCAAAUGGAAGGUCCCAGAGGAAGAAGCUAACACCUGUAGCAAAUGGAAGGCCCCAGAGGAAGAAACAAAGACCAGUAGCAAACGGAAGGCCCCAGAGGAACCAAAGACCAGUACCAAAUGGAAGGCCCCAGGUGAAACAAGCAGAGACAGCAGAUGCAAGUCCGCAGAUGAACCAGAAACCCGAGGCAAAUGGAGAGGCCCUGAUGAACCGAGUAGUACCAGUAACACAAGCGUAAUCUUCUAACCUCAGCUUCUUACAUAUCCAAGUUGUUAGAUAACUACUAGUAUGCAUUGCUGUAGUAUGGGGCAUCAGUGUGAAAAUUGUCUUGAUGAAAAAUCGAAACGCAAACUGAACCUAUAAAUCUUGAAAUCCUCAAGAGGGGAAAGCUUAGAUACUCUCAUGCCGCUCCAAAAGGGGUAUUAAACUUGUCUUCUUUUUCAUGACAAAGCUAGUUAAUUCUGGCAAUGGAAAUCUUGAAAUGUCCAGUAUUCUAAUGCUUGUACAGUAGAGUGUUAUCUCUGUUUUGACAGCAAGAUCAGAUUGGUGUGUUUCAGUUAUAUUGCCUCCACUUUGCUUCAGUUCUCCCUGUUCCUGUUUGGUUCGAGAUUCUACUACUACUAAUGAGGCUUGUUUGUCUGUCAGUGUCAGUGCCAGCGCUCCUGCACCCUUGGUUUACCACAGGAAGACAGAAGGUGUGAAGCCAAAUGUGGAGAAGGGGAUGGCAAAGGCCGCCACAGAAGCGCGGAAAUUGGACGGCUCAGGCGACAGCAGGCCGGCGCCACCUAAAGAGCAAGAGCUGGCGAUUCAGAAGGACAAUGAAGAGGCGCCCAUCAACAAGGUAACCCGCGCCGCAACCUUGCUCGUUUCUAGCUUGACCAAACAACCGUAAAUGCUAUCAGAGAUGAGAUCGCCUAACACAAUGCUGCUAUCUAGCUAAAUUGUUAUGGUUUGACCUGAAAGAACAACACCACUGAUGAACUGAAACAAUUGCCCUGAAAGAAGAACUUGACUGGUUAACCGAGUCAUUUUGUCCUGAAAGAAGAACAUGAAUGAUUUACUGCCUGAAUUUACGCGAUCAUGCUUGCUGCCGCUGCUUCAUGAAUGCUCUGUAGUUUAGUUUGCCCCUGUUGAUCAAUCAAGUGGUAAUAAACAGUAGGUUGAACUGUGAAGUUGUUGUUGCGGUUAUAUUUCUGUGCGAUGAUGAUGACGAUGAUGUUGAUGGCUGUUGCGGAUGGAAUACAAAAUGCAGGCGACGUUGACCAUUGUCAUCGACUCGGAUGAGGAGGAGGGGGGCGUCAUGCUGAAGGCCGGAGCAGGUAGAGCCAGCCGUGGAACUGAACUGAACUGAACUGAACUGAACUGAACUUCCUUUCUCCCUCUACGCUGCUGUGAAUUGUAAACCCAUGUGAUGUGGGAGUGACUGUGUGUCUGGUGCAGGUGGCGCCGGUGGUGCGGCGGCGGCGGAGGAGGCGGUGGGCGAGGUGGAGGCGCUGGAGAUCCUGCGGCGGGCGAGGAAGCGCCGGCGGAGGGAGGAGGCCAGCGCCGCCGCGCUGGACCGCUGCUAGACUGUGUAUUCACUAACUAGUACUCCCUCCAUUCGGAAUUACUUGUCGCAGAAGUGGAUGUAUUUAGACAAAUUUUAGUUGUACAUACAUCCAUUUCCGAGACAAGUAAUUCCAAACGGAGGGAGUAGCAGCAACCCAACGGUAGCUAUUGGCGUACAGAUGCAGAGGCGGGUCGACAGACAGUGGCUUCAGAAGAGAGGUUAGGGGGCGGAUUACAGAGGGAGAGGUACAGAUUUACUACUAGAGUACACAGCAAGGGCAGAUGUUCACGGUACACUGCUGUCACAGUGCCAUUUUCAUCUGCUGUUCCAGCCUGAUGAUGGAGCCGUCCGUGCGGUGCGGCCACGUUUUGCUCGUCCCUUGUUUUUUUCUUUUUCUUUUUUUGUAUCCUCUGUUCUCGUGUGGUCCGCUAGUUGGCCAGGCAGCCAGCGCAAACAAGGGCCGCUGGCUCUAGAGACUAGACUAGAGAGAGACUAGACUAGACGGGCAUGGACAUAGACCGACCGCAGUGCAGCCAGCCUAGAGAGAGAGAGGUAGAGGUGGGCCGGUUUGAACGGAGGUCGGUGCCUUUUACGCUGGCAGGCUACGUGUGCCGGCUACACUACGCACUCCAUCGAUCGCAGCCACAGCACGUACCUGACAUGCACGCAUAAUCAGCAAACCAGGGCAAAUAUAUACUAGAAAGCGAACGGAUGUGGUGCGACAGUGGUAUCCCAGCCCAUCAGGGUUCAUUCCUGGAUUUAUUUCAGGAUUUCGGACAAUGCGCUUUCAAUGAAAGGAGACGUUUUCGUCGACGAGACGCUUAUAAUGACUUUGUAAGGUGACAUGCCGGCUCAGUCUCUCAGAGGUGCUCAUAGAGGUAGACGUUUUCGUCGACGAGACGCUUAUAAUGACUUUGUAAGGUGACAUGCCGGCUCAGUCUCUCAGAGGUGCUCAUAGAGGUAAGGCGUGUGUUUAUAGAGAUGAGUGUAUGCGCGCAUGUAUGAGCGCUUGCGUCUGUACUUUCAAAAACAAAGUAUACAUUGGGGGGGAAAAAACAAGGCACGUGCGCUCACGUUAUAUCCUGUCCCCGAGUGUGUAGUACUCCGACUAGUGUUUAACGGAAAUGGGAUGUACGUACUUAAAUUACAUAAAUAGUUUGACACAAGUAAAAAGAAAAAAUUAGCUCCAAGCACAUGCAUGGCACAUCCAUUCACAUUUUCCAUAAAGAAGGUAAAAAAAUUACAUUUUCCGUAAAGAAAAACACGACCAUGCAUUCAGCAAUUUACUAAAACGAUAUGGAUGUACGGAGGAUUGAUCCGUGCCCCCAACAAAUCACGAAAUAAACAAAUUGGUAGUGGGAUGCUUUUACCACAAGGCUGGAUCAUUGCUACAGGAAUACAUAUGCUUCAAGGACAAUUAUCAAUCAAACGCUCUGAUCCUGCCACUUUUUCCUGCAGAGCAGCGGGGUGGGGAAAAAGCAUGCGUGCCUGGUGCCUGCCUGCUGCUUGUGCGUGUGUGUGGUCACCUUGAUGCGUGCCCAUGGCAUGUGCCGCAGCUACAACUGUCCGUCGCCAUAGCUGUGCUGCUUGCCCCUCCACACCAGCUCCACAAAGCGCAAAGAGAGGCCGGCAGGCACACAUACAGGGGAAGACGAUGAAAAGGAUGGCGUGCCACUGACUGACCUGACUGGCACCGGCCUGUGCGAGCCAGCAAGAAAGGCUUCUCCUUCUGAUUCCUUCCUUCCUUCCGUCGUCGGCGAGCCUGGCUGCAGCUGGCCGUAGCAUCCCUUCACAUGGUCAGAGACUUCUCAUGGUUGGUUGCUGAUCUCCUCGACUCCUCCUCGGGCUCGGAGCUAGCGGCGGUUCUUCAUCUUCUUCCCUGCUGCGCCGUGAGUAAUUCUUUCUUGUUAUGCUCUUGCCUUGUUUGUUUUGGAACCAUAAUAAUACGAGUUGUCUCUGCGGUGGCUUCGCAUGCCCAGCUCCGUUCCUGUGAUUACUACAAUAGCAGAGAAAAGUAACAAGGGUCAGAACAGAGCCCAACCAGAGUGAAACAUGCCAAUCACAACAUGCUCAUUUGCAGCCAACUCUGAUUUUGUUUGUUCAUCUAAUUGCAGCAGAGUGCAGACAUUUUCUGCGACCAGGCUCGCUUGAUUUGCUGCAAGAAAAUUAAUCAGCCCCACCCAUCAACUGAACAGCUGAUACUGCUGGGUACUUCAACUUCAGAGUUCAGAGAGCAGGCAGAAGGAACCAUCCCAGAAUGGGCAAGACGAGCCGGAGACGGGCUACGCAGAUCCAAGAGAACAAUGUAGGCUGCACUUGGGGCCUCAUCCGCAUGUUCUACUCCCGCCGCGACCCCAAGCUCAUCCUCGACAGAAAGCAAGGGAGCAGAAGGCACUCCUUCAGUGGAUUCGCUGGUACUUCCCUUGGUUUACAAACAACAGUUGUAUUAAUUGUGUCAAUACUACCAUCUUCAGUUCUUAUAAUCCAUGGUGUCCGUCCUUCGCUUCACACUUCUCUAUGCUACAAACUAGCAACAAAUCCAACUACAUUUAACUGGGAAAUACCAAGGCAUUCGGGAAAUGCAUCAAUCAGGCAGGCUGUAAAUUCUGUUAUUGGGAUUAAUUUGUACUGCUGCUAAUGCACCCUGCAUGGUUGCAGGAAGAGGGCACUCCAGAAACAAGUCCACAGACUUUGAGGAACCAGAUGAAGGCGGAGAUGUAAGUUCUCUACAGCAAUUAGCAAAUGGAAACGAUGCGGUUUCAAGAGUGAAAAAAGAGAUAUAUUAUUACUUUUCUUACUGUAGAUAGCAUAGUGCUUUCGUUGACACCACCACUCCACAAAGAUGCAGCAGAUGCAAGCAAGUUACUUGCAUAACAAAGUUGCUGUGACUUGUCGAAUUGAAAGUGUCAACUUGGUUUUAAUAGCAGCCAGCAAGUCUUCAAGGCAAAGUGUAGUUUAAUAUAAGUUGAGUAACAAUAAACAUAGAAAAAGCAGUUCUGAUAUGUCAACAAGCAUAGCUUGCUAUGCAUGGACUUGUAUUGAAGAACCAUCAUUCAGCCCCCCUUUGAUGCAAUACAGACCCUGUUCAAGCUUUGCUUGUGUCGUUUGUGCCGAAACUGAAUUUGUUGACCUUCUGAAAACCUAAGUGCAUUACUUACAACCUAUUCGGUUGCAAGUUACUGUCUCCAACUCCAAACCGAAACAAGAUACUCCCUCCUUCCCAAAAUAUAAGGCGCGAUUGACUUUUUACGGUCUUUGAUGCACAACUUUGACCACUAAUAUAUAUCAAAGUAUAUGGAUUGAACAUGUAUAAAUGACAUCGCUGUAUUUGUCUUGCAAAGCAAUUUUAUUUCAUAUGUAUGUAUAAUAAUUUUAUAGACAUAUAAUACAUAAAAAAUAUAGUCAAAGUUGUGCAACGAAGACCAGAAAAGUCAAACCGUGCCUUAUAUUUUGGGAAGGAGGGAGUAAUUUUUUUUAUUUACUUCCAAGUGCAUGCUAACAUAACAAAAUAAGAUUUACUUGUUUCCUGGUAAGAACUCAUUUUUGGUCUUAUAUUUCUUAGAACAUGGAGGAACGCAGUACUACGAAGCCAACUGUUAAAAGACUUAUGGAGGGCGAGCUGGGAAAGCUAAAACAGUCCAAGAAGAUUCCAAAUGAUGAAGUUCGAAGAAUAUUGGCUGACCUGGGACAUGAUGUCUGUCUGGACAAAGGUGCAAUGCAAAACAGCAAACCAAAUGGCGUCGCAAGUCCCCACCCAGGCAUCGGCAUUGCUUCUUCCUCUGGAUCCUUUGAUCCCGGUGGUUCCAACUGCAUGAAACAGGCAGAAGAAGAUGGCCUUGAGCUUGCUUUGUCAGAUUUCAUGGGACAGGUCUAUAAGUACCACGAUGAAGGGCCACAUGAUGAUUGCAGGAAUACGAGUGAAUUAUACCCUGAAUUAGAGUCCAUUAUACAUACAAAGAUUAAUGAAUAUAACAAUCCUCCAUGUGACCUUGAUUAUCAGAAAACACCGGUGAGUGAGGAAAAGCAGCUUGUUGACAACAAAUAUAUUUGCAACAGACAUGUAGGGGCCAGGCUCGAGCCCAAGAAAAUGCUUGAAAAAACAAACGUUGUUGAACAUACAAAGGCUUCAAAUCAGCGUGAGUUGGCUAUCAAAACAAAGAAUAAAGAGAGCAGGAAUAUAUUUUUCUGGAAGAAAGAUAAAUCAAGCAGAACACAUGCACCUGAAGGAAGGUCUUCUCAGCCAGUUAACAAAAUAGUAAUACUGAAGCCAAAUCCAAGGGGAGGAUUUGAUCCUACAGAAGCAACUGCAUCGACAUCCUUCCAUCGGCAAUCAGGUGGAAUUCAAGCUCCAGAAUACAGUGCAGCUGAAUGUUCAACAUUUUCAGUUAAGGAAGUCAGGAGAAGAUUCAGAAUCGUGACCGGAGAAACUAGAGAAGGAAGACCCCCGAUGAACGAAGAUGAUGUACAAAGAGAUCCGUGUUUGCUCAGAGACUCAUUUACAAUUAUAAAGGAUUCCAGACAGGCCCCUCCAGCUACUGAUAAAAAUGAUGCUCGACCUUCAAACAGCAGUAAACACAAGCAAAUAAAUGAUUCACUAGGUGGUUUCAACAGCGACGUAUCUACCUCAAAGGAUGCAUCCACCUUCUACGCAGAAGCCAAAAAACAUUUAACAGAAAUUCUGAAGGACAAUACUCAUACUGGCAAGUAUCCAAGUCCAGCAGUUCAGGUCUCAAGGUCCUUGGUAGGAAUGCUUUCCCUCCCUCAGUGCAGUACCCCAUCAUCACCUGGGAGUACCCCAAGGGUAAGAGAAUGUAUUGAACAUUCACAGGAAGAGAAAAAUAUUUGUGCCAUACAAAAGACCGAGGGGGAAGAAUCUGCGGAAGAAGGAAAUAAAUCAGAGGAAGAUUCAGGGAGUGCUGAGUGUGGUACUAGUGAAGUACCGGUUGAAAAAACUGAUCAAGAAAAACAUUACAAGGAAGAAGACACACAACAAGGUGAGUGAUUACAGAAUACAAAAUUAUCAAAUACUGCAUGGAUAUUAUAUUAACAGAAUAUGAAUACUUGCAGACGUUGAACUCGAUACUGGUUGUAUUGAAGAAAUUGACAAUCUGGAUCACUCGCAAGCAAUUCGGAAUGCGCAAUGCAUUUCAGCAGAGCAACACAAAUAUAACUCACCCCCAGUAUGUUCAAGACAAUAUUUAUUGCUAUUUCAUCUAGUUUCCAUUGAUGUGUUAGUUUAAUGAAAAUUUUGAAUGUCUGCAUUGAAGGAAACGACGGAAGCAGCAGAACCAGGUAAAGAGCAUGCUGAGAUUUGUCCAGGUUCCCCUAAGAAUGUUGUCAAGAUGCUAGAGCACCAAGAGCCAGAAACUCCCAGACGAAGCGCGUCACUUGGACCAACAUCACAAGAGGAAAACCAUGAAAAGCAAGAGCAACCCAGUCCUGUGUCUAUUCUUGAUCCAUUCUUCCAUGAAGAUGACGACAGCCCUGAAAAUAAGAGCCCAAUGCAAUGUAAUAUUCAAUUGAUAAAAAAUCUAAUGUAUGCUUACCAUUGACCUUCAGAAAAACAAAGUGUUUUUUUUAAAAAAUCUAACGGUUUCAUCUCCCAAAAUGACGUACAGGUGAGUUGCGCCAAGAUGUCUCGAGUCCCCACCGGUACUACCAAGAUGAUGGAUCAGACCCAGAGGAGAUCUUCUGGGAGGACAAGGAUGUCAGGUUAGGUUACAUAGAAACAGUGCUGGAGCUGUCGGAAUUAUGCACAUACCAGAACUUGGAUGUAUGGUAUCUAGAAGAUGAAUUGGUCAGCCCUUGCCUGUUUGAAGAACUACUUCAAGGCAAUCAUCAAACUGAUGAUUUCAUGCUCUUCUUUGACUGCAUCUGUGAAGCUAUAACCGCAAUACAGGGGAAACACUUUGGAAGCCCCCAUUGCUUAUCUUUUGUCAGACAAAACAUACAGGCACCUCCAAUGGGACAGAAGCUCAUCUCAGAAAUAAAUAAGCACAUUGAGGGCCAUCUCUGCUAUGAAUUUCCAAGCACAUUGAACCAGCUAAUUAACAUGGAUCUGGAAGAGGGGACUUGGAUGGAUCUUCGAUCGGAAAGUGAGGAGACUGUUGUGGAAAUAUGGGAAUUCUUGCUGGAUGAACUGCUAGAAGAUGUCGCUUAUGACUUGUGGAUAUAGUCUAUCAGGGCGAUCAAGGCAGAGCAUUGUGUGCUUGCUAAUGUGAGUAUUAGAUACAGUAACUUUUAACAUGUUUGGGAGGGAAGAGCGGUGAGCUUUUUUUUCUUGAUGGUGUGCAUCUGACGGUUACGAUGUUGUUCUUGUGCCUUGUGUGGUGUGUGCAUAUGUGAUUUGUGUGACUACUAGUGUCAGUUAGUUAUGCAAAAUACAAUCAAAAUGACACCCAUUUCAGUGGAGUUCAGAGUGAUCCAUAAUCAGUGCGCGCAUAACCAACACCGGUGCAUAUAUCAUCCAUUCCAGUCAUACCCAUAAUAACAUAUCCUACAGCAGAUUCAGAAUUCGACAACAGUAAACAUGAGAGAACAGAACAUACCCAUGACAUAUCCUACAGCAGUUUCAGAAUUAAGCAGCAGGACAGGAGGCCGGAUUAAGGAUCAGUUACCAAUCAACCGACGAAUCCUGCCGCCGCCGUCGCCGUCGCUGGGUUUCUUGGUGACCUCGGGGCUGAACUUGUCCUCCUCCAUAGAUCCCCUUCCUCCAGCCGGGGGAGCUGCGUUUCCUCCCUCCUUCUCCUCCUCCUCCUCAUCCUCCUCCUCCUCGUCGUCGGUGAGAUCUAUCUCGACGAAGCCCUUCUGUCCGCGCUGCUCCCGGACCUGCGCAAGAAACUCCUCGUCCGGCGGCGGCAGAGGCUCCAGGAAUUCCUCGGCCCUCAUGAGCGUGUCCAGGUGGAACUGCGGCAAGACCACCCUCGUCUUCUCCUUCUUCGUCCUCUCUUGUCCCUUUGCGGGCGCCGCUGGAUCCUCGCCGGCGGCGACUGGCGGCGCCGCCUCGGAUGACGAGCUCGCCAUUUCGCCUGCCUCUCUCGCCGGCCCCGCCGCUCUCCCUUCUUUCUCUUCGAGAAAUCCGGCCCGGUAACCCUGGGUCAGUUUUCCCUUCCGGCUAAGGCAGAAAAGCCCGUGAUGAUCUCGUACGGCCCGGCCCAGCCCGAUGGCUGCAUCGCGUGUAUGAUCUCGGCCGGGCCCAACAAAUCACUGGUUGGGCCACAUUUUUUUUCUUCGUUCUGAAACUUACACCUUUGAAUCCUCAAUUUGAACUCCGUUGCACUGCAUGCUGACGGCGAUGGAAUGUCCGUGUGCGCGUUUGCACCUUAUCGCAUGUCUCAUUUCGUGGAUUAUUCUUCACUGCAAACCAUUUCUAUCAUAAUGGUGACAUUUUUUUUGAACAGGAUAAUCGUGACAUUUUCGCAGUCGUGAAGAACCACGACUCCGACAUUCAGUAAACCACAUGUGAAUGAGUGCGGCUGUGUGCAGGGCCGGGCCCACAGUGGUGCCAAAUGUGCGGCCCGCACAAGGUCCAAAAUUCUGGGGGGGCCCAAAUUUUUAUAUAGGCCUAGUAUUAGAAAAAAAAACUAAGCGGUACCGGGCCUACUGGCGCUGGAGUUGGGCUGGAGAGAGGCGACGAGGCCGUCGAGCGCAAUCCUCGUCCUACUCAUCUAAACACGAGCGCUACAAUUUCUCAAAAGAAAAAAAGGAUCGCUACAUGGAUCGGAUCGGCAUCGGGCCACAGGAAACAAAUCGGGAUCGUCCCUGCCAUCGGGGAUCAUCUCGCAGGGCAAUUCUCGAUCCUGGCUACAGGAAAGGAAUGGUAGCCUCGUCUCGUCGCCACUUGCCAGGGCCCGUUCGUCGCCUCGUCCCCGGUGGGCAUCUCCAGCCGCGCCCCCAACAAAUCCUCUCAAGCCACUUUUUCAGCGCCGGUAUCGAAAAAACGGCCCAGUCACGCCUCCAGGACGCCCGAAAAUCGUCGGUUCGGACCUUUUUUCGCCCGGCGGUCACAGGCCUAACCCGACGCGCUGGGGUGCCGUUGGGGGCUCCGGCGCUAGGAAAAAGUACGCCUGGCCCACACCGACAGGGGAAAANNNNNNNNNNNNNNNNNNNNNNNNNNNNNNNNNNNNNNNNNNNNNNNNNNNNNNNNNNNNNNNNNNNNNNNNNNNNNNNNNNNNNNNNNNNNNNNNNNNNNNNNNNNNNNNNNNNNNNNNNNNNNNNNNNNNNNNNNNNNNNNNNNNNNNNNNNNNNNNNNNNNNNNNNNNNNNNNNNNNNNNNNNNNNNNNNNNNNNNNNNNNNNNNNNNNNNNNNNNNNNNNNNNNNNNNNNNNNNNNNNNNNNNNNNNNNNNNNNNNNNNNNNNNNNNNNNNNNNNNNNNNNNNNNNNNNNNNNNNNNNNNNNNNNNNNNNNNNNNNUUUUGACGGUCUCGGCGAUGGACUCGGAUGAGAAGGAAGAGCUCGCCGCGCUGCUGGAGGAGGAAGCCGCGGCCGACGUCCAGAAAGAAGAGCAUCUGAUGGUGCUCGCCGCCCUCGCCCAGCUGCUGGCGAUCAAUGAAAAGCCACAUCGAGGUGGCUCGGCGCCGGGGCGGGUGAAAGCAAAGAACCGGCAUCGUCUGCAAGGCUACUGCAUGCUCUACUCCGACUACUUCGCCGAUGCUCCACUUCAUGGCGAGAGAACAUUUCGGCGCCGUUAUCGGAUGAGCCGAAAGCUCUUCCUCAGGAUUGUGAAUUGCAUCCGGGAGUUCGACAACUACUUCAAGUGCAAGAUGGAUUGCACUGGCGCUCUUGGAUUCACUUCCAUCCAGAAGUGCACGACAGCGAUGAGGAUGCUUGCAUAUGGAGCUCCCAGUGAUUCACUCGACGACUAUGGGCGCAUGGCCGAGUCCACCAGCAUAGAGUGUUUCUACAAGUUCUGUCGGGCAGUGGUGGCAGUGUUUGGGCCACAAUACUUGAGAACACCCAAUGCGGAAGACACUGCUCAGAUCCUAGCCCAGAAUGCAGCAAGAGGAUUUCCUGGGAUGCUUGGAAGCAUCGACUGCAUGCAUUGGCAAUGGAAGAACUGCCCAUUUGGUUGGCAGGGGAUGUACAAAGGCGCCAAAGGCGGUUGCAGUGUGGUGCUUGAGGCGGUAGCCACACAGGACCUCUGGAUUUGGCACUUCUUCUUUGGUAAUGCCAGGAACUCACAAUGACAUCAACGUGUUGCAGUGCUCUGCUGUUUUUGCCAAGCUCGUUGAGGGUCAUUCUCCUCCGGUGAACUUCGAGAUCAAUGGGCACCAAUACAACAAGGGGUACUAUCUAGCUGACGGCAUCUAUCCGAGAUGGUCGACAUUUGUAAAGACGAUCUCAAACCCUGUGGCAGGAGGCAAGAACGCCUGGUUUGCGAAGGUUCAGGAGGCUUGCAGGAAGGAUGUCGAGCGGGCAUUUGGUGUGCUCCAAUCUCGAUUCGCUGUUGUUCGGUACCCCGCUCAGACUUGGUCGAAAGAUCAAAUGUGGGAUAUCAUGACUUGCUGUGUCAUCUUGCACAACAUGAUCAUCGAGAGCGAGCAAGAAGACCCAGUGUUUGACACUGAACCAUACUACAGGCAGGGUCCUCUAGCCGAAGUUGAUCACCAGCUACCAGCAACUUGGACUGCCUAUCUCAGUAUGCGUCAGGAGAUCCGAGAUCCACAGGUGCAUCAUCAACUGCAGAAAGAUCUGAUUGAGCACCUAUGGAGGCUCAAGGGGGACGCCGCGUGAUGAAAUACGAGUUUUUAUUUGUUGAACUAUAUAAUUUGUAUUGAACUAUUUGUUGUUGUAGUAUUUUGUUGAAGUAUUUGAUUUUUCUGUGAUGAAAUAUGUGAUAAGGAAUAAUUGUGUUGAUAAUUGAACGCCGAGACACGGCGAAACCAUGCCGAAUAUGGGCCUAUUCUCGCCCAUAUGGGCCGUUUAUUCGCCGAAAUUGGGCUGCAAAGUGGGCCAAUUUCGGCGCCUGGGGGCGACGACUGGGCGCAAAAUCGCCCCCAGCGCCGAGUGUAUCGCCGGCUCGCCCCCAGGGGGCGAUUUCUAUGCGUCCUGGGGGGCCAACGGCUGGAGAUGCCCUUAGAUCAAUCGGAAUCCAGAUUCAGGGCGACAUGCCGCUGCCGUCAUUGCCUUCCUCGCCUCCUCUCUCAAAUUUCAGACUUGUCGACAUCGUCUCGUCGGAUUGAUCGGUGACCGACUCCAACCUCCAGGUGUUUAGCGAGUCCUUCUUUUCGAUUAACUUCAGUUCCUAUUUUAAUUCCUAAUUUUUUAAUUACUAUUGACAGGAUGGUUACUUCGUUACAGAUUGGUUCUUACCUCUUCGAUUAAAGAUCAUAGUGUAGCAGUUCUACCGAACAUGACCCAAAAAUAGGUGAGUUAGACGGUUCGUCUAAUUGUCAAACAUUGACGAAUGAUCUCCAAUUGAUAUAUGCUACUGUAUAACUUCAAUUUUAUUUUAUUCAUUUUCUUUAUCUUGUGUUUCAAUGAUACACAUUUGAGUCAUCAUGGGAAAACACCAGUCUCGUGCCUAUAAGCGUAAGAGAAAAGCACAAAAACAAAACUUAAUUAAUAAACCUUCCAAAGGUGGUAUAUGGACAGAUUUGUUAGAAAAGAAGCACCACAAGUGUCAUCUGGUAAUCAGUCUGUUGAUCCCUCUACCCUUGCACUUGCAAUUGUUCUUUACAAUGAUUCUAGACAUGGUUAGACAGAGAUAAAUAAUAUGUCCGACUGUUAUGUAAGAUAUUAUAUUACAUAAAUAUUAUAAUAUUUUUCUGCGAGAGAUAUAUAUACACACACAUUAUAAUAGCUCGUUAGUUUUUUUUAUGAGAUAGGGCCCUAUUUUUUAGUUUCGCACAGGGCCUCAAAUUUUGCCGGCCCAGCCCUGGCUGUGUGUGUGCGCGUGUGGCGUGCACAUCUAUAUGUCGUUGUACUCCUACACAUUAGACUAGGCAAUUCUCGCCACAAAGAUGAUAAAAGGAUUACAAUUGGAGAUGGCGUCCAAGCAUAUGCACCUUAUUGCAAUUAAUCGUAUGAUACACAUGCUUGCACCUUAUUGUGAGGGAUUGGCAAUUAUAUCUAAAAUCAUGCAUCGUUGAGCCGCUUGGUGGGUGAGACGGCCUCGAUGGCUUCUCCGAGCGCCCAUGCGGCUUCGAUGAAGUACUCCCCAUGCUUCACCUUCUGCGCCACCGUGAUUUCCUUGGUGGGCUCCAGGCCGAAACCGUCCACGAGCAGGGAGUACUGGUAGACGAGGUCCAUGCAGAUGUAGGGCGUGUCGACGGAUCGCACCUUGGGGUACGUGGCCUUGGCUUCCAUGAAGCCCAUCGGGCAGAUCUUCUCGGCGGCGGCCCUGAACGCCGCAGGGGUGGUCUUCCCGCUUGUGGCCUCACUGUCGAUCAAGCCAACGUCUGCUGCCAUGUAGUAGAAGCUGGAGGUGACGUAGAGGUCGGCUUGGCCAGGGCCGCCACCACCAUUCCAUGCGCCGUUGAAGGUGCAGUUCUUGGCCUGGCAGGGCGCGUUGAUCUUAAGCGCCUUGGUGACAUCCUCUCUGCACUUGUCGUAUGCUGCUCCUUGAGGAGGCGCUAUGGCGUCAUAUUGCUCUCCGUUAUAGGUGUAUUUGCCUUCAUUCAUAUUCAAGAAAUGUAUAAAUGUACAUCGAUCACUCCUUUAUUUGAUUAUAUUACGUGCUAUGCUAACUGAACCCAANNNNNNNNNNNNNNNNNNNNNNNNNNNNNNNNNNNNNNNNNNNNNNNNNNNNNNNNNNNNNNNNNNNNNNNNNNNNNNNNNNNNNNNNNNNNNNNNNNNNNNNNNNNNNNNNNNNNNNNNNNNNNNNNNNNNNNNNNNNNNNNNNNNNNNNNNNNNNNNNNNNNNNNNNNNNNNNNNNNNNNNNNNNNNNNNNNNNNNNNNNNNNNNNNNNNNNNNNNNNNNNNNNNNNNNNNNNNNNNNNNNNNNNNNNNNNNNNNNNNNNNNNNNNNNNNNNNNNNNNNNNNNNNNNNNNNNNNNNNNNNNNNNNNNNNNNNNNNNNNNNNNNNNNNNNNNNNNNNNNNNNNNNNNNNNNNNNNNNNNNNNNNNNNNNNNNNNNNNNNNNNNNNNNNNNNNNNNNNNNNNNNNNNNNNNNNNNNNNCCAUUGUAUCCCCGCAGCAUGCAGUAGCUCACUGGACCAUUCUUGGCCUUGAAGAUCUCUACCCGAGAAGCCAUUGCGCCAUAGUGCAAGUAGCUGAAAUGGUUCAAAAAUUACCACCCGUAAAACCAUUAAUAAGGGGAGCAAAGUAGUUACCACAUGGCCUUUGUAGAAUUGCAACAUACUCCCUCUGUAUUUAUUUACCCCACACAUUAGCUUUGAUUCAAGUCAAGUUUUUAUAAAGUUUGACCAACUUUAUAGAAAAUUAUAUGAACAUUUACAAUAAUAAAUCUAUAUAAUGUGAAAAUAUAUUCAAUGAUGAUUUUAAUCGUAUUAAUUUGGUGGUGUAUGUGUUGGUAUAUACUUUUUCUCUACAAACUUGAUCAAAAUUUAUAAAGUUUAACUUUAGACAAAGCUAAUAUGUAGAACAAAUAAAUACAAAGGGACUAACAGAGUUGGAUGCACAACAAUAAGUGAUAAAAUAACAGAGGAGGGAGCUUAGCUAGCUAGGGUCCAAGUAAGUAACCUGUGAACAUAGACGUUGUAAUCUCUUCCUUUGAGAUACUCUUUGGUGACGUAUGGAUCGUCCCCUUGAGGCACCCCGGGAGCGGUAGCGGCGGCAUCCGCGGAGAUGGCAUAUGCCAUCUGCACUGACCCGCCUCCAAGGUCGAUCACACCCACCGUCUUGGAGUAGUCUCCUCCUAAAUUACCCAGCAGGUAAUUCAGAGCAACCUACGUACGGUGCAAUAUCAAUUUGUGUGACAACAGUAAAUACAUCUACGUGGAUAUAUAUACUGAGUAAUUAAGUCAGGUCAUGUAAGUACUUUCUCCGUUCACAAAUAUAAGAUGUUUUGCAUAUUUCAAUAUGGAUUACUAGAAUUGAAAUAAGUGAACAAACACACUAUAUAUUACACAUUUUAUUUAUAAAAAUACGUAGAAUAUCUUAUAUUUGUGAACGGAGGGAGUAGUAUACUAGUGGGACGGAGCGAGUACAUAGGGUAGGAGUAUACGUACCCACAGGUAAGACCCUUCCUGAGACCCCUUGAGGACAUUGAUCCAACUAGGGUUGUACUGGAAUUUGCUCUGGCUGUGGACAGCAUCCCUCACCUGUAUGUACGUACGUGUUUUGGUUAGGAAUAAUCAGUUCAAACAAGUCCAUCGUUUCAAAUUUUAGUACUAUAUAUAGAUACUGGAACAAGAGUAGAAUUUAGAGAUAAGAAAUAAUUACUGCUUCAAGAAUUUGCUCUGCUUUCUCGUCUCCGAUGAGCCUGAGCCCAGCCGUCGCCUGCACAUAUUCAUUCCAUUUCUAAUUUUAGCGAUUGAUUUGUGUCCCAUAUAUAAAUUUCGUUUCAAUUUGUUUGGUGCCUAGUAAACUAGGUGCUGGACAAACCGUAAAAGUAUUUGUUAUUGCUAUAGUUUGUUAAGGACGGACCCCUAGUUUAACGGGCGUUUUCUUCAUGAGCGAGCGGGGCACGGUGCUCUUGGCCUUCUCCAGCAGAGGCACGAUGGACUUGGCCGCCUCCUGCGGCCGGCCGGCGUACGCGCUCAGCCCCGGCUCCACCUGCGGCCACCAACAAAUCAAAAGAAAUAUGAGAGGACAGCAACAACAUACAUACUCCUAGAAUAGAUUGCUAUGCGUCGUGCAUAAAUAUAUACCUUGGCGAAGACCUCGAUGUCGUCGCCGUCGCCAAUGUCGAUGAGCUCCAUCUUCUUGUCGAACCGGAAGACGUGGACGCGCGUGCCCGUGCUGCCCGCGUCGAAGAUCACCGCGUACUUCCCGGCCGCCUUCUUCAGCUCGGGCUCCUCCUCGGCAACGGCCCCAAUACCGGCCUUCCGGCCGAGCACAGCCACGUCGGCGGCAAAGGCCGAGCCGGCGAACGAGAGGGCCACGAGGAGGAGGAGGAGGAGGAGGCCCGAGGCAUGACGAACCAUGGCGAGCUGCUGCUGGAGUGCUGGUGGGUGGCUUAGUGCGCGUGCUCGAGUGAGCAGCCGAAAGGGUAUUAAAAGGAGGCGGGAGUUUCCAUGGGCAGCCCCAGGGUUUGGUUGGCCGCGCAGAUGAGUCCCUGCCAUGCAAAAUAAAACAAUCCCAUCUUACUGUAGGGAGGUUAGUGGAAUUGUACUGUGAGUAACACUAGUGCGUGCGUGCGUGCGUGUGUCGAUCUCAUCGUGAAAAGAUGAUGUGGAUGGAUUGGGAUUAUUGUUGGAUCUGAAACGUGGAUCUACCGAUGCAAUUUACUGUGGAUGUGCCGCUAGUAUCGCUAAUGCCAAUCAACUGUGAGUAGAGCAGUAGUAUCAUCAUCAUUCAACAACUUUUGAUCCAUCCAAAAAAGUUGUCGUCUGGGCCCUCCUCCACGCGAAACACGCUGCAUGCUUAAACAAUACUAUGGCGGGGCCCUUACCCUAGCUACCCGACGUACGCGCGACACGGACACAUGCAUGCAUGGGCCUCCAAAAGAUCAUUUCGCCGGCCGGCCAGUCACUCUUGAAGGAAAUAUGCCCUAAAGGCAAUAAUAAAGUUAUUAUUUAUUUCCUCAUAUCAUGAUAAAUGUUUACUAUUCAUGCUAGAAUUAUAUUAACCGAAAAAAUGAUACAUGUGUGAAUACAUAGACAAACAUAUAGUCACUAGUAUGCCUCUACUUGACUAACUCAUUAAUCAAAGAUGGUUAUAUUUCCUAACCAUAGACAUGUGUUGUCAUUUGAUUAAUGGGAUCACAUCAUUAGAAGAAUGAUGUGAUUGACAUGACCCAUUCCGUUAGCCUAGCACUUGAUCGUUUAGUAUACUGCUAUUGCUUUCUUCAUGACCUAUACAUGUUCCUGUAACUAUGAGAAAUAUGCAACUCCCGUUUACCGGAGGAACACUUUGGGUACUACCAAACGUCACAACGUAACUGGGUGAUUAUAAAGGAGUACUACAGGUGUCUCCGAAGGUACAUGUUGAGUUGGCGUAUUUCGAGAUUAGGUUUUGUCACUCCGAUUGUCGGAGAGGUAUCUCUGGGCCCUCUCGGUUAUGCACAUCAUUAUAAGCCUUGCAAGCAAUGUGACCAAAUGAGUUGGUUACGGGAUGAUGCAUUACGGAACGAGUAAAGAGACUUGCCGGUAACGAGAUUGAACUAGGUAUUGGAUAACGACGAUCAAAUCUCGGGCAAGUAACAUACCGAUGACAAAGGGAACAACGUAUGUUGUUAUGCGGUUUGACCGAUAAAGAUCUUCGUAGAAUAUGUAGGAACCAAUAUGGGCAUCCAGGUUCCGCUAUUGGUUAUUGAUCGAGAAUGGUUCUAGGUCAUGUCUACAUAGUUCUCGAACCCAUAGGGUCCGCACGCUUAACGUUACGAUGACAAUUUUAUUAUGAGUUUAUAAGUUUUGAUGUACCGAAGUUUGUUCGGAGUCCCGGAUGUGAUCACGGACAUGACGAGGAGUCUCGAAAUGGUCGAGACAUAAAGAUUGAUAUAUUGGAAGCCUAUGUUUGGACAUCGGAAAGGUUCCGGGUGAAAUCGGGAUUUUACCGGAACACCGGGGGGUUACCGGAACCCUCCCGGGGGUUAAUGGGCCUUAGUGGGCCAUGAGGGAGAAGAGGAGGGCCGGCCAGGGCAGGCCGCGCACCCCCUCCCCCCCUAGUCCGAAUAGGACAAGGAAGGGGGGAGGGGGGGGGGGGGCGGCGCCCCCCUUUUUUCUUUCCCCUCCCCCCUUUCCUUCUCCACCAAGGCAAGAGGGGGGAGUCCUACUCCCGGUGGGAGUAAGACUCCUCCAGGCGCACCCCAAGGGGGCCGACCGCACCUCCCCCUCCCUCCUUUAUAUACGGGGGCAGGGGGCACCCCAUAACACACAAGUUGAUCUACGGAUCGUUCCUUAGCCGUGUGCGGUGCCCCCCUCCACCAUAUUCCACCUCGGUCAUAUCGUCGCGGAGUUUAGGCGAAGCCCUGCGCCGGUAGAGAAUCAUCAUCGUCACCACGCCAUCGUGCUGACGGAACUCAUCCCCGAAGCUUUGCUGGAUCGGAGCCCGGGGAUCGUCAUCGAGCUGAACGCGUGCUGAACUCGGAGGUGCCGUACGUUCGGUGCUUGGAUCGGUCGGAUCGUGAAGACGUACGACUACAUCAACCGCGUUGUCAUAACGCUUCCGCUUACGGUCUACGAGGUUACGUGGACGGACACUCUCCCCUCUCGUUGCUAUGCCAUCACCAUGAUCUUGCGUGCACGUAGGAAUUUUUUUGAAAUUACUACGUUCCCCAGCAGUGGCAUCCGAGCCUAGGUUUUAUGCGUUGAUGUUAUAUGCAUGAGUAGAACACAAGUGAGUUGUGGACGAUAUAAGUCAUACAACUUACCAGCAUGUCAUAUUUUGGUUCAGCGGCAUUGUGAGAUGAAGCGGCCCGGACCGACAUUACGCGUACGCUUACGCGAGACUGGUUUCACCGCUACAAGCACUCAUUGCUUAAAGGUGACCGGCGGGUGUCUGUCUCUCUCACUUUAGUUGAACCGAGUGUGGCUACGCCCGGUCCUUGCGAAGGUUAAAAUAGCACCAACUUGACAAACUAUCAUUGUGGUUUUGAUGCGUAGGUAAGAACGGUUCUUGCUAAGCCCGUAGCAGCCACGUAAAAAUUGCAACAACAAAGUAGAGGACGUCUAACUUGUUUUUGCAGGGCAUGUUGUGAUGUGAUAUGGUCAAGACGUGAUGCUAUAUUUUAUUGUAUGAGAUGAUCAUGUUUUGUAACCUAAGUUAUCGGCAACUGGCAGGAGCCAUAUGGUUGUCGCUUUGUUGUAUGAAAUGCAAACGCCCUGUAAUUGCUUUACUUUAUCACUAAGCGGUAGCGAUAGUCGUAGAAGCAAUAGAUGGCGUAACGACAACGAUGCUACGAUGGAGAUCAAGGUGUCGCGCCGGUGACGAUGGUGAUCACGACGGUGCUUCGAAGAUGGAGAUCACAAGCACAAGAUGAUGAUGGCCAUAUCAUAUCACUUAUAUUGAUUGCAUGUGAUGUUUAUCCUUUAUGCAUCUUAUCUUGCUUUGAUUGACGGUAGCAUUUUAAGAUGAUCUCUCACUUAAUAAUCAAUAAGUGUUCUCCCUGAGUAUGCAUCGUUGCGAAAGUUCUUCGUGCUGAGACACCACAUGAUGAUCGGGUGUGAUAGGCUCUACGUUCAAAUACAACGGGUGCAAAACAAUUGCACACGCGGAAUACUCAGGUCAUACUUGACGAGCCUAGCAUAUACAGAUAUGGCCUCGGAACACGGAGACCGAAAGGUCGAACGUGAAUCAUAUAGUAGAUAUGAUCAACAUAGUGAUGUUCACCAUUGAAACUACUCCAUCUCACGGGAUGAUCGGUUAUGGUUUAGUUGAUUUGGAUCACGUGAUCACUUAGAUGACUAGAGAGAUGUCUGUCUAAGUGGGAGUUCUUAAGUAAUAUGAUUAAUUGAACCUAAAUUUAUCAUGAACUUAGUACCUGAUAGUAUUUUACUUGUCUAUGUUUGUUUGUAGAUAGAUGGCUCGUGCUGUUGUUCCGUUAAAUUUUAAUGCGUUCCUUGAGAAAGCAAAGUUGAAAGAUGAUGGUAGCAAUUACACGGACUGGGUCCGUAACCUGAGGAUUAUCCUCAUUGCUGCACAGAAAAGUUACGUCCUGGAAGCACCGCUGGGUGCCAGGCCUGCUGCUGAUGCAACUGACGACGUUAAGAACGUCUGGCAGAGCAAAGCUGAUGACUACUCGAUAGUUCAGUGUGCCAUGCUUUACGGCUUAGAACCGGGUCUUCAACGACGUUUUGAACGUCAUGGAGCAUAUGAGAUGUUUCAGGAGUUGAAGUUAAUAUUUCAAGCAAAUGCCCGGAUUGAGAGAUAUGAAGUCUCCAAUAAGUUCUAUAGCUGCAAGAUGGAGGAGAA
rnacentral:lncRNA from 1 species